AUUGAACGCUGGCGGCAGGCCUAACACAUGCAAGUCGAACGGUAACAGGAAGAAGCUUGCUUCUUUGCUGACGAGUGGCGGACGGGUGAGUCAUGUCUGGGAAACUGCCUGAUGGAGGGGGAUAACUACUGGAAACGGUAGCUAAUACCGCAUAACGUCGCAAGACCAAAGAGGGGGACCUUCGGGCCUCUUGCCAUCGGAUGUGCCCAGAUGGGAUUAGCUAGUAGGUGGGGUAACGGCUCACCUAGGCGACGAUCCCUAGCUGGUCUGAGAGGAUGACCAGCCACACUGGAACUGAGACACGGUCCAGACUCCUACGGGAGGCAGCAGUGGGGAAUAUUGCACAAUGGGCGCAAGCCUGAUGCAGCCAUGCCGCGUGUAUGAAGAAGGCCUUCGGGUUGUAAAGUACUUUCAGCGGGGAGGAAGGGAGUAAAGUUAAUACCUUGGCUCAUUGACGUUACCCGCAGAAGAAGCACCGGCUAACUCCGUG
rnacentral:rRNA from 1 species